GGUAGCGUAGCUAACGCGUGAAAUUGACCGCCUGGGGAGUACGGCCGCAAGGUUAAAACUCAAAGGAAUUGACGGGGACCCGCACAACGGAUGAUGUGGAUUAAUUCGAUGCAACGCGAAAAACCUUACCUGGUCUUGACAUGUACGGAACUUGCCAGAGAUGGCUUGGUGCCCGAAAGGGAGCCGUAACACAGGUGCUGCAUGGCUGUCGUCAGCUCGUGUCGUGAGAUGUUGGGUUAAGUCCCGCAACGAGCGCAACCCUUGCCAUUAGUUGCCAUCAUUAAGUUGGGCACUCUAAUGGGACUGCCGGUGACAAACCGGAGGAAGGUGGGGAUGACGUCAAGUCCUCAUGGCCCUUAUGACCAGGGCUUCACACGUCAUACAAUGGUCGGUACAGAGGGGCGAAGCCGCGAGGUGGAGCCAAUCUCAUAAAACCGAUCGUAGUCCGGAUCGCACUCUGCAACUCGAGUGCGUGAAGUCUGGAUCGCUAGUA
rnacentral:rRNA from 1 species